GACGAACGCUGACGGCGUGCCUAAUACAUGCAAGUCGAGCGGACCAAUAGAAGCUUGCUUCUAUUGGUUAGCGGCGGACGGGUGAGUAACACGUGGGCAACCUGCCUGUAAGACUGGGAUAACUUCGGGAAACCGGAGCUAAUACCGGAUAAUUCAUCCCCUCGCAUGAGGGGGUGCUGAAAGUCGGUUCACGCUGACACUUACAGAUGGGCCUGCGGCGCAUUAGCUAGUUGGUGAGGUAAUGGCUCACCAAGGCGACGAUGCGUAGCCGACCUGAGAGGGUGAUCGGCCACACUGGGACUGAGACACGGCCCAGACUCCUACGGGAGGCAGCAGUAGGGAAUCUUCCGCAAUGGACGAAAGUCUGACGGAGCAACGCCGCGUGAGCGAAGAAGGUCUUCGGAUCGUAAAGCUCUGUUGUCAGGGAAGAACAAGUACCGUUCGAAUAGGGCGGUACCUUGACGGUACCUGACCAGAAAGCCACGGCUAACUACGUGCCAGCAGCCGCGGUAA
rnacentral:rRNA from 1 species